GAAUUUUCUUUGCUUCAACGUGUUGCUUCGUAUGUCCGUUAAAACAGCUGGAGGCUGUGGAGCAACCCAUUGUUCAAAUCUUAGGAAUGUACAAUUAUUUUCUAUCGUUGUGGCAAAGUAUACAAGUUGAAUAAAAACAUGGUUGAAGGAGUUCAAGUGAUGCAAUUUCAUUGGUGGGUUUCAAGGGUUGAACGCUUAAGUGCCCCUGACACCCUUAUUUCAUUAAUCAUCUAAAUAUUCGUGUGGAAUGAUAUAGAUUUUUUUUUUUUGAACGGCGAAGCAUCUAUAUAAUAAUGUAGAACCGGGCCAGCAAGAAGCUGAAAAAUCUGAAGGGCUUACAAGACAAUGUCAAGUAAACUGAAAUCACACCAUCUACCCCAAUUUAAACUAGCAUACUUUGAUCUACAAUUAAUCCGAAAGAAAGAUUGCUCCUUUAUUUGCUCCACCGUCUAAUUGAGUGGGACGUAUCUGUUGAAGUCCAUCUCGUUCAUUGCUUUCCAGAUCUCCCAUUUGAUGGUUAAGAGGAUUGCGUCGAUAAGUUUUUUCCACAUCUUUAACCCGUCAAUAUUCUCCACUUUGGAGACCAACUCCAGCAUAUUGAUUUUCAAGUUUCAACCCUUCGGACCCAUUCCCCUUUUAUUAGUCUAAGUAAAACACAACCUAAGUUGUCUUAUUCAUAAAUUGUUGUUUAGAAAUUUCAACCUUUUUUAUUUCAAGUACUAGAAACAUUUUAAACCACAAAUUUCUUAUCUAGAUAAUACUUCACUUAACAUCUUUUCAUCAUCAAUAGUUCACUUGAGCUUCAAUUUGUGACUUCAGUAUUAGACAUAUUAACAUUAGAUAAUUAAUUUGUUUUAUUUCAAUAUAGUGUAAAGAAAUUAUACUUAAAAACACAAGUAUUUUGUUUCUUAAAUUUUUUGUUUUGAUUGAAGACAACAAUACUUAAAAGGAAAAAUAUCAAAUAAUUUUCAAAACGCACGGCUAGGUAAUUACCAAAGCUUUAUGAAGAACAAAAGUAAACAAGAUAAUUGUCAAAGAUUUAUGAAUAACAAAAGUAAACAAUUAUGUAACCCUAAGUAUAUAGUCAUGAAAUAUUUGGGGUUUGAAAAGACUAAGAUGCCAAACUACAUAGUAAAUCAAUGCAUGUCAAAGACGUAAUAUUUCAUAUAAAUGCAUAAUUUGUGUCAAUCCUAAAUAGAAGAACUCAAUUGGAGACUUGAUGACCAAAACCAAAUUUUUAGUAGCUUAGAAAAUAAAAAUUUAUUUAAGAUUUAUUUUAGUUGUUUCGUGUUAGUUAAUAAAAAAGUUUGGGUGGGGAGUUGGGUCCAACUGUUAAAGUCAUUCAAUUUAAGGUGUUGCUCUCCUUGAGGUUAAAGGUUACCCCGUCAAAGACUGAUUUGGUGUAAUUUAAUCUUCUAAUAAAGAGGUUUUAUUUCUUGUUACACUCUCUAUCUUUCAUCCUAAUUAUCAAAAUUUGGGCAUUAUUUACAUGCAUAAAAAAUAUGAAUCUUUACAAAGGAUGUGCUUUAUUUAAAUUGAAUUUUUGGGUUGUAAGCAUGCAAUAAUUAGGAUUUAUAAACUUAGUACUUUUUUGUAUGUAUGUGUUUGGAAAUACAUAAGGAAAGAUGUUACAAAACUUACAAGUCUUAAGGCAUUUUCUACCAAAAUACGACUUUCCACCAAUGAUGUAUUGAUGUGAUCCUACCGAAGAAUGCUACAAACUGAGAGUUGCUACCAAGAGUUAAUUUGUGUUCCUAGAGCUUUUAUACCAACGAAGAAGAUAAAGAUGAAUGUAAUUAUCUUUGUAUUUGAAUCUAUUGUGUUAUUAUAUGUUUUGAUAAGACCAAAUCAAUUGAUUGUAAACUUAUUAUUUGAUUUUAAACAACACACAAUUCAUAUA